rnacentral:rRNA from 1 species
UACGUAGGUGGCAAGCGUUGUCCGGAAUUAUUGGGCGUAAAGCGCGCGCAGGCGGUCCUUUAAGUCUGAUGUGAAAGCCCACGGCUCAACCGUGGAGGGUCAUUGGAAACUGGAGGACUUGAGUACAGAAGAGGAAAGUGGAAUUCCACGUGUAGCGGUGAAAUGCGUAGAGAUGUGGAGGAACACAAGUGGCGAAGGCGACUUUCUGGUCUGUAACUGACGCUGAGGCGCGAAAGCGUGGGGAGCGAACAGG